AUUGAACGCUGGCGGCAGGCCUAACACAUGCAAGUCGAGCGGAUGAAGGGAGCUUGCUCCUGGAUUCAGCGGCGGACGGGUGAGUAAUGCCUAGGAAUCUGCCUGGUAGUGGGGGAUAACGUCCGGAAACGGGCGCUAAUACCGCAUACGUCCUGAGGGAGAAAGUGGGGGAUCUUCGGACCUCACGCUAUCAGAUGAGCCUAGGUCGGAUUAGCUAGUUGGUGGGGUAAAGGCCUACCAAGGCGACGAUCCGUAACUGGUCUGAGAGGAUGAUCAGUCACACUGGAACUGAGACACGGUCCAGAGUCCUACGGGAGGCAGCAGUGGGGAAUAUUAGACAAUGGGCGAAAGCCUGAUCCAGCCAUGCCGCGUGUGUGAAGAAGGUCUUCGGAUUGUAAAGCACUUUAAGUUGGGAGGAAGGGCAGUAAGUUAAUACCUUGCUGUUUUGACGUUACCAACAGAAUAAGCACCGGCUAACUUCGUG
rnacentral:rRNA from 1 species